GGAGCACGUUCUAUUGUGGGUCAAGAAUUCAGCAUAGCAAGUUUGUAUGAAGGUCUGGUUAUUAAAUGGGUACCUAGUUCAAUAGUAAUAUCCUCUAAAACGCUCGUGACAAACACACUUUGCUGACCUGUUUCCAACUGGCCACAUGGCUGGAAGACCCUAUUCAGGUAGCUAGCUAACAGCCAUGGAGGAGCGGGAAAGGAUAGCAGCCACAACUGUCAAAGUGAAAGAGUAGGCUAUUCUGGAUAGGGCAGGUACUUUUGUGUAGUUCCUGUCCCUAGAAGUAAAGACGGAGAUAAUAGUAACAUAAUAUUCAGUGCAGUGUAAUUUCACUAUAAUAAAGUCUGUUUCUUGUGAGGAUUUCUGUCCUCAGAUAAAGAGAGCUAUGAAAGCCUGUCUUCAUAUGAAGAGGUCCCAAUGAAGAGCAGUGGUUCUCAGUCCUGGUCCUGGGAACUCAAAGGGACACCUUGUAACUGGAGAUUCCUUCAAAACGAUUGCCUACAGUUAACAUGUAGGGCACUGCAAGGCUGGGUGACCAGGGCCAUCUGGGACUGCCUCCUGGAGGAUUUCAGGUGUCUGAAGGCUACCUGUGUCCUGCAUAACUUCAUGAGGAUGGACACGAGGACCAGGAGGGGAUCUGAAACUCGCCGCCGUGUGCUGCUCUGCAAGAUGUUUCAAGGAUGGGGUCCAACAACGCAGCAAGAGAGGCAAUCAGUGUGUGGGAGAUCUUCACCUCCUUUGAAGAGGGUGCUGUUCCCUGGCAACACCAUAGACUACACUAUGCACAACAAAGGCUCUUUUAAGAGCCAUUCACAUUGUGAUAAGAUUAUUCUUCCGUUUACUUAGCUAUGUCAACUGCAGUUAUUCAAUUUUCAGUUUCUCUCCUUUUGAUUUCUACUUCUCAGGUGAGGGUGCUGUUUAGUAAGCAGGCUUAGGUGUGUAACUGUGGCUCCUUCCACCUUCAAAGAAUAGGCAAGAGGGCCAAUCAUGGAGAAUAGUAAGAUACUUCAUUAUGUCUAUAACUACUCUAUAUUGUUUGUCCUCGUGUGUCCGUUCAUGUUUUUCAGCAUAAAGUACUCUGCAGCCACUUAGUGUGGUGUGGACACCAGGAGAGGCCACACAGAAAUUCCUGUUGAACACGGUCACUUUAACUACCUUAUUUUUCAAUAACAGUCUCUCAACUUCACUUCAUCCCUCUCUCCUCUUCUCCCUAAAUCCUCUAGGUUAUAUCAGCUGUGUCAGUGAACCCCUCCCACAUCUGAACUGGCUACAUAGAGGGCACAGCAUGAUCAGAG
rnacentral:lncRNA from 1 species